rfam:Vigna angularis cultivar Jingnong 6 chromosome 7, whole genome shotgun sequence.
AUCUGAUGAUGGGACAACUUGCACAUAAUUUGUUGAAUCUCUCCUAGUAUUCAUAGAAACUCUCCCCAACUAAUUGCUUAAUUCCUGAGAUAUCAUUUCUUAUGGU